rnacentral:rRNA from 1 species
UACGGAGGAUGCAAGCGUUAUCCGGAAUGAUUGGGCGUAAAGCGUCCGCAGGUGGCUAUGUAAGUCUGCUGUUAAAGAGUGAGGCUCAACCUCAUAAGAGCAGUGGAAACUACAUAGCUAGAGUGCGUUCGGGGCAGAGGGAAUUCCUGGUGUAGCGGUGAAAUGCGUAGAUAUCAGGAAGAACACCGGUGGCGAAGGCGGCAUCCUGGACCGGUAUUGACGCUGAGGCGCGAAAGCUAGGGGAGCAAACGGG